CAGCAGUCGCCGCGGGAAUACGUAGGGUGCAAGCGUUAAUCGGAAUUACUGGGCGUAAAGCGUGCGCAGGCGGUUAUAUAAGACAGAUGUGAAAUCCCCGGGCUCAACCUGGGAACUGCAUUUGUGACUGUAUAGCUAGAGUACGGCAGAGGGGGAUGGAAUUCCGCGUGUAGCAGUGAAAUGCGUAGAUAUGCGGAGGAACACCGAUGGCGAAGGCAAUCCCCUGGGCCUGUACUGACGCUCAUGCACGAAAGCGUGGGGAGCAAACAGGAUUAGAUACCCCUGUAGUCCCUGUCUCUUAUAC
rnacentral:rRNA from 1 species